UGGGGAAUAUUGCACAAUGGGCGAAAGCCUGAUGCAGCAACGCCGCGUGAGUGAUGAAGGCCUUCGGGUUGUAAAGCUCUGUCUUUUGGGACGAUAAUGACGGUACCAAAGGAGGAAGCCACGGCUAACUACGUGCCAGCAGCCGCGGUAAUACGUAGGUGGCAAGCGUUGUCCGGAUUUACUGGGCGUAAAGGAUGCGUAGGCGGAUUUUUAAGUGAGAUGUGAAAACCCUAAGCUUAACUUGGGGACUGCAUUUCAUACUGGAAAUCUGGAGUGCGGGAGAGGAGAAUGGAAUUCCUAGUGUAGCGGUGAAAUGCGUAGAGAUUAGGAAGAACACCAGUGGCGAAGGCGAUUCUCUGGACCGUAACUGACGCUGAGGCAUGAAAGCGUGGGUAGCAAACAGGAUUAGAUACCCUGGUAGUCCACGCCGUAAACGAUGAGUACUAGGUGUAGGAGGUAUCGACCCCUUCUGUGCCGCAGUUAACACAAUAAGUACUCCGCCUGGGAAGUACGAUCGCAAGAUUAAAACUCAAAUGAA
rnacentral:rRNA from 1 species